CCUACGGGAGGCAGCAGUGAGGAAUAUUGGUCAAUGGGAGAGAUCCUGAACCAGCCAAGCCGCGUGAGGGAAGACGGCCCUAUGGGUUGUAAACCUCUUUUGUCGGAGAACAAAACCCGGGACGUGUCCCGGACUGCGUGUAUCCGAAGAAAAAGCAUCGGCUAACUCCGUGCCAGCAGCCGCGGUAAUACGGAGGGUGCGAGCGUUAUCCGGAUUUAUUGGGUUUAAAGGGUGCGUAGGCGGUCCGUUAAGUCAGCGGUAAAAGUGCGGGGCUCAACCCCGUCGAGCCGUUGAAACUGGCAGGCUUGAGUGGGCGAGAAGUAGGAGGAAUGCGCGGUGUAGCGGUGAAAUGCAUAGAUAUCGCGCAGAACUCCGAUUGCGAAGGCAGCGUACCGGCGCCAGACUGACGCUGAGGCACGAAAGCGUGGGGAUCGAACAGGAUUAGAUACCCGUGUAGUC
rnacentral:rRNA from 1 species